rnacentral:rRNA from 1 species
UACGUAGGGUGCAAGCGUUGUCCGGAAUUAUUGGGCGUAAAGAGCUCGUAGGCGGUUAGUCGCGUCUGCUGUGAAAACUCGGGGCUUAACUCCGGGCCUGCAGUGGGUACGGGCUGACUAGAGUGCGGUAGGGGAGACUGGAAUUCCUGGUGUAGCGGUGAAAUGCGCAGAUAUCAGGAGGAACACCGGUGGCGAAGGCGGGUCUCUGGGCCGUAACUGACGCUGAGGAGCGAAAGCGUGGGGAGCAAACGGG